GGGGCCCCUAUAGAGGGGGCCCCCUUAAGAAGGGGGCCCCUAUAGAGGGGGCCCCCUUAAGAAGGGGGCCCCCUUUAGAAUGGGGCCCCUACAGAGGGGGCCCCCUUAAGAAGGGGGCCCCUAUAGAG
rnacentral:snoRNA from 1 species